AUGGUAAAAGUUAGAAAAACAAUGAUAAACGCACCAUACUAGCAGCAUCCCUAACAAUUUUUUUUUAUAAUGGUCUAUAUCUCAAGUCAACAUAAGAUCAUUUGCUCCCAGAUGAGGGCGGAGGCAAACGCGAACUUCGUGCUCUUCAGGUCCAACGCGAUGUUUUGGCACCAUGAUCUCUAGCACUGAUCCUGGCUCAUCAUAGUAUGCUUCCAGAUUGGCGUCUUCAGGAAUUCUGGUUGAGAGAGAAAUUUCGCGGACAAAUUCUCCAGGGGGGCAGUGCUCUGAGGAUGCAUCUGUAAGCUUGAAUGUCCUAUCACGUCUCUUGAUAAAAGGCUUUCGAGAUGUGCUCAUACAAGAAACCUUGAUGAUACCAUGAGUAAGAGUGUUCCUCCAUGAAACUUUCACACUUGCAAGAUCUACAAAGGGCAGACUGAUUAUAAUCAAGUAACCUUGUUCAUCCUCAUAGAUAGUUUUUGCAGCUGUAACAGGUCCAUAAGCAUUCUUUAUCACCCCGCUUAAGUCAUUUAACCAGUGUGGCUCACUUGGGUGCAUUUCUAUGUCUUGGAUCUGAUCGGAUGGAGGAUUAACAGCCAAGUAACAUUCUUCAUCAAUUACAUUUCCGUUACCAUUUCCACGAGGGAAAAAGUCUUUUCUCUUUUUUCCGUUGACAGGAGACAAGUCCAAUCCAUCGCCGUUAUUAGACAGAUGAGUUGACAAAUUCAAUCCAGAUCCAUUAAGCAGCUUCUUUGGGUGUGCAUUUGCAGUACCCUUGAUUGAAGGAAUAGGUCUAUCAAGCUCAAAGUCUGUGUUGGGAAGAUUUCUCCAUGAACUAAAAUCGCUUGCUUCAGGUGGGACUGUAAAAUUCAAAUCUCGGCCGGUGAGUUCAAUCCACCUUUUCCGAUCAUCCUCAUCAAGAUUCAUCAGAUUGGGGGAAGGAAAAACCUCAAUGCCAUGCACACACUGAGGGUUUGACAGUCCCCGAUAAUGCUUCCUUUGCAUCCGGUGGGAUCGAACAAAACCUUUGUCAACACUGAAAGGAAACGGGCGCUCCCCUUGGCGAGAAUGCCCAUUCAUGUAACUCCUCAGCUGCAUCUUACCCAAUGCAUUUUCAGGCCUCUCCUUGAAAACCCACAUGUACAUAUUUUCCAUGUCAUGUUGAACCAUGAAAACAUCAAGAUUGAGAUCACAUUUCUCAAAACCUGAAAUGCCAUUACCGUCUCUAACAAUCUUGGCCUUGGAUUUAUCAUUCAAGGAAGGCUUAAAGUAAAAACUGAAGAAAAACCAAGCACCCCACAUGCUAUCAACUCGCUUAGCACAUUUCCUUCCAACUUUGGGCAGAGUGAGAAAAGUCUCAGUCUCAUACCCUUGAGUACCAAGACUAACAUCCAAAAUAUCACAAGGAUCAGAAUUCCAUGACUGCGGAGGCGGACUACGUUCGGCAGAUAACGGCAAAUUGAUAUCUGGCGGGCGAGAAAGUAUGAUUUGGCGAUUCAUCUCCAAGUCCAGUUCCUCAUGAGAAGAUGCACUUGAAUCCAUGGACAAUAACGUGGAAGGGUGAUGAUUCUCCAUUGAGAAAGAAGCAAAACAAGAAUCGCCAAUGCUACCUCAUCUUGUUGUUGAUGAGUUGUUGUUUUAUUGCUGGUUGAUACAAUAUUGCCAUCCCAAAAAUAAUUCAACAAAAAAACCUUAUAAACAACACCUUCAUCGUAUCAAUACCCACUAUAUUUAUCAAUUCAAUUUGAGAGGAAACAAAAAACACAAAAAUCAACAAAUCCAAAUAAUUUAAAAUAGUUCCUUUUCUAUUUUUUUUCUAUAAAUUCAUAAAUAAACAUACUCAACAACAAUAAAUACAAUUACAAAUAUAUGUAUAUUAUAUAUCUCUCUGUUCAAUCUAUUCAAGAGAUUUUGAAAAAUGCUAAAAGAGAAUUAUACUCAACCCUAUUUAUCGUAUCUGGAUAAACCCUCCAAAAUCAAGGGGAAAAUAGUGAAACUGAAUCAAAUCCAUAAAACAGAAAUAAAUAAAAUAGAGUCUCUGAAAAAAGACUCAAUAAAAAGGAAAUAGAUCUUCAAAGAUUACCUUUUAGGAUAAGCAUCAGAGAAUCGAGAAGAACAGGAACCUCCAUAACCGACGAUGAUGCGCUUCAUAAUAUCAUCGACAACCAUGUUUUCAACAAACUCUCCAGAGUAAUUUUCGUCAUUUUCUACAAUUAUUAUUAUUUAUAUUUUUUUCCCAAAUAAAAACCCUAAUUUUGUUUUUGUUGUUGUUCACAUCACGUAAGACAAUUCACCUUUUUGGAAUACAGCGUUUUACUGCGGCGGUGCAUCAACUCUCUCUCUCUCUCUCUCUCUCUCUCUCUUUUAUUUUUUAUUUUUUUACUUAUUUUUUAUAUAUAUUCUUUGCAUCCAAUCUCUAUACUUUAUCGUAUUAUCAUAAUGUAUUAUUAUUAGUUAGUCUUCAAUUUUAAUUUGUCAUCUUGCAUCACCCACAAAACAAAAUAUCAUCUUAUAUAUUUACGAUUAAUAAUCAUUUAUAGUGAUAGAAAAAAUAAUUAUUUAUCAUUAAUCGAUAAAGAUAUUUAGACAUCACAAUGUAGGACACUAUAUUUUUAUACAAUUUUCUUCUUCUUUCUAUUCGAGUAUACCUCAUUUUCUAUACAUAUUUAGUUGUUUGUAGAUUUAUAUAGUGUUAAGUAUGAUGUUGACAAAUUUAUGUCCAAACGACAGUGUCUUUCAUUCAUUUUGAUCAAGAUUAUAAUUUUAAAGAGUUUUAUUUAAUACAAUGAAGAAAUAAAAGAUAAAAACUAAGUAACAAAUAAUCAGAGUUAUGUAAAAGAUAGUUGAUUGGGUAACUCAAUCUCUUCUUUUUAAUCUAGAUUAGUCCGAUUAUCAUUAGAACGAUUUGCCUCUUAAUAAAUACGAGACACCUUACAAUUUCAAUCCCCAUGAUCCAACAAAUCCAAAGCAUCAAGAAUAAGAGAUUUAGGAUAAAGAUUAUGAGACUUUUGAGAAAUCGUCGAUUAAUCAACUAAUUUAUGUUAAGGGUUAAAAAAGUGGAAAUUUUGAGUUCAAAUCUAAGUGAAAGAAAAAAUUAAUAUAAUAAUUAAUUAUUAACUUUGAUAAUUUAAAAAAAAACGAUGAUAAAAUUCAUCUCCUUAAAAAGAGACAUUCAUCUCUUUAAAAGAGACAUUUAUAAACCCCAAAGCUCAACUAUAACUAUCUUAUAUUGACCAAAAUUACAAUUGAAUCCCUAAAGAUAACAACCAUUGAAUCUCUGGUAAGAUCGACACAAGCUGACCUACCAAUAAUUUUAAUAUGGGACUCAUGACAUUAAACUUGAAAGAAGAGGAGGGUGUGAGACAUCCUCUGUCACAAAAAUAUUAUAAAAUGUAUAUUGUAUAAAAAAUAUAGGUAAAGUUGGUCCAAAAUAAAACAUAUACAGAUCACAAUUAAAAACAUGUAGAAAUAACAAAUUUAAAAAAGAGUUCAACCCAAAAAUUUUCACUCUAAUAAGAGUUUACUGUAAACAAAUCUCACAUUUAUUAGUAGACUAACAUGUUAAGAACUAAGAUAAUUAAACUACUAUCUACGACAUUGACAUCAUAUCUCUGUCUCUUCUUCGUGACAAUUAUUUCAUCUGUUGUUAUCUCAUCAUCUACCUACACAUGUAAUGUGUAAGCGCGACAUGAAAAAACUAAAGACGACUCAUCAUUCUCAAAACAUAAUAAAAUAGAGUAAAGUAAAUUAAAUGCACAUUCAAUAUAAUAAUAUUUAACACAACAAUACCAACAAAUGCAUUAUAACAUGAUACAAAUCCUAAUCAACCUAUACUUAUUGCUGGAUCCAUUUAACUAUGUGUUGAUACAAGUAAAGAAGCCACUUGCUAUUCUAUGAACAAGAGUGUCUAGUUAGGAUUCAAAACAACUUCAAUCCUAUGCCAACACUGACGAUUCAAAAGAUUCAAAAGUCUCCUUGAAAACGCACAUCUACAUGUUUUUCUAAUCAUACUAAACCAUGAAAACAUCAUUGUUUUAAAUCAGAUUUCUCAAACCCCAAAGCACCAUUAUUAUCAUCCCUAAUACAGUUGCCUUAGAUUUUCCAAGCAACGCAAGCUUAAAGUAAAAUUUGAAGAAAAACCAAGCAUCCCAAAUGGUAUCAACACGCUUCAAAUAUUUCUUUCCAACGUUCGGAAGAUUAAGCAAACUCUUAGUCUCAUAUCCACCUUGAGUACCAAGACCAACAUCCAAAAUAUCAAAAAGGUCAGAAUUCAACAAAACAACCUUAUAAUCACCAUCAACUUUACAUCAACAAACACCCAUAACAAUAGCAACUAAAACCCUCCAUAUAAAAAAAAAAAAAAAAAAAACUAGAUUUAUAAAUUAGAUAAUGUACAUAAUGCAUAAUAUAAGACCCUGGAUAAUUUUAGUUGUCCAUUUUUAUAAGAUUCUUUUUAAAUUGUAAAUUAUAUUAAUUAUUUUUUUACUGUGUAAAUAAUUUACAUCUUUUUUUCUUUCAAUCAACAAUAAAUAUUAUAAUAGAAACGUUAAUUAAUUCUCUCUCUUUAAAUAUAUAUUUGUAAAAACAAUAUCAAUUCUUAACAAAUUUGAUAUUACCAUUCAUUUUCUUCAUUUUCAAGAGUUAGCCAAAUAGAUCUUAUACUUAAAGACAAAAGUAAUUUUAUUUUCUUAUAAACAAAAAAUCACAUAUACAAACAAAAAUAUCACAUAUCAAAACUUGAUUUAAGUCUUGCUUACUAUUGAAAACUAUUGUACUGUGGUGUUAUUAUAUUAUCUAAAUGAAUUAAAAUUACAAAUCAUCUUUGUGUGUAACCUAAGUAAUCAAAGGUGUUCAAAGACAAAGUUGAAAACCAAAAUAAACAUUCAAAAAUAUAAUUUUUUAUUUUACCAUAAUAAUCCUAUCUCACACAGCUAAGUAUUUCUUUUGUCUCAUUUGUCAUUUUUCUUUAUCUUAAAUUAUUUUUCAUUUUACAAUAUAAAUUAUUUUUAAAAAAUACUAGGACACUUGUUAAACAUCUAAAAAUAGAAACUUUACAAUCCAAAUAUAUUAGAAUUUGUGCAUUCAUCACUUUGAAAGUAAAAAUAUUUUUUUCAAUGUAAAAUGACCAUUUCUUGAUUGCUUAACAAAUGUUCUAACGACACUUAUUAACAUCAUACAUUACUUCUUCUACUAAUAUACAUUUAUGUGUUGUAUCUUAGUUGAUCAAAUUUCUCAACUACUUACAAUUAAUAAGAAUAUUUAAAUAAACAAUGUUUUUUUAUAUUAAAAUUAAUAAAACUAAUUAUUUUCUUAAGAAUCACACAGAGCUUACGAUUAAAAUGAGACAAUAAUAAAGUAUAAAAAAUGAUAUGUCCACGUAAACAAUUGCUUGCUUGUUUUCCCUUUCACCCAAAAUGUCACCCCAACAAGCCGCGUAUUUUUUUCCAUGUUGAGGCACAACAUGAUAGGCACAACUGAAAUGGGACAUAUUUUUGACUUUAUUAAUAACAGGAAUGAUUCCUCAGUCACGUAAUGUGAUAAGCAAAAAAUAUCUUCUUCUGUUAAUAAAGUCAACAUAUCAUCCACAAUCGCAACAAUGUGGAAAUAUAAAAAACACUAUUCUACAUGGAACAUUUUCUUCAAGAUUACUUAACAGACAAUGAAUAUUACUUUGUCUUUUAAAAAGUAGGAUGUAUAGUGAAUUGAAAAUUUCGUUAGAAAAACUGUUAUAAUCCACCGUUAAUUCCAUAACAUAAGGAAUCAUGUUAGUGGAAGUUAACUCUAUUAUUGAAUUAUGUUAUCAUUACAUUUUGCAACUGCUGCGUAGUGUCAAUUAUUUGGGAGGAGAAUAACAAGACAAUAAAACUGAUAAAACAGAAAGUUAAGUGGUGGAGGGAAAUCUGCUGAAUAUAUUUGUCCACUGUAUCAUUCCACUGAGCAAUGAAUCAUUCAACUCUUCUUCUAUUUUCAGUAAUAAAAUAAUCCAAAUGUAUAUGAUAAUUUCUUAAUCUUAUACAUGAUUAUGCUUACAAUCAAAAGCUUGAAGAUGCACUGGAACAAAAAAAGAACCAGGGCAAUUAGUGAGCUAAACUAUAACUGCUACAGACAAAGCAAGAUAACAUCAUUUCUAUUAAAAAUAACACUGCAUGGUACAAGUUAGAAAAACAAUGAUAAAGGCACCAUACUAGCAGCAUCCCUAACAAUUUUUUUUAAUGGUCUAUAUCUCAAGUCAACAUAAGAUCAUUCCCUCCCAGAUGAGGGCGGAGGCAAACGCGAACUUCGUGCUCUUCAGGUCCAACGCGAUGUUUUGGCACCAUGAUCUCUAGCACUGAUCCUGGCUCAUCAUAGUAUGCUUCCAGAUUGGCGUCUUCAGGAAUUCUGGUUGAGAGAGAAAUUUCGCGGACAAAUUCUCCAGGGGGGCAGUGCUCUGAGGAUGCAUCUG
rnacentral:lncRNA from 1 species